UGCCAGCGGCGGGAAGGAUGUCACUCACUCUCUCCCUCUCGCAGCUCAGGUAUUUCCCUUCAGUCUGUAAGGUGAAUGACUAUGGCUGAGCGGUUAGUGCACCAUGGCCGGUCAAAGGAAUUACAAAGGCUGACCUGAGAUGGGGAAUGCACGAGGUUAUGUGUAAAAAAAAAAAAAGUCCUGAGAUAAACUGCUCAGCUGUUUAAGCCACAGAGGAGGAAUUGGAAAGCUGCUUUUACACAAAGUCUGGAGGAGAGGAACUGUCCCGCGAGACUUGUUGCCAUUUCUAAAGUUUCAGUGUGUUCAGUGUUUUGAGCUCCCGACAUGGCCCUGUCCCAGAUACAAUGCCUGGACGAUAACAACGUGAACCUGCGGACGCACGAGUCUAAACCGGAGUUCCUGUACUGUGAAGACCAGCGGGUCGCUCUGGAAGCUCUCCUCCGGAAUGGUCGCGACGCGUUUUUUAAGUGCUUGGAGGCUCGCGGCCUGCGGGGUUUCCUGUCAGACCCGGAGCUGGAAACGCUCGUCGGGACGGUGGAGCCGUACGACCCGGACUCGGAGAUCUUCCCGGAGAAUGCCGAGGAGGACGAGCCAGCGCUGUCGCUGCACUACUGGCCCGAGUUGUCAGACAUGUCCAUUCCGCAGAUGGACAUGGGCUGGCCGGACUCUGAAUCUUACCGGGGUGUCACGCGCACCACGGUGUAUUCGCAGCCACCGCUGGAAGGUCAGGCACACAUCAAAGAGGUUGUCAGGAAAAUGAUUGCGCAGGCGCAAAAGGUAAUUGCAGUGGUGAUGGAUGUCUUUACUGAUGUCGACAUCUUCCGAGAUUUGCUAGAUGCUGGUUUUAAGAGAAGGGUUUCUGUCUACAUCCUGUUGGAACGUUCAUCUCUACCUCAUUUCCUGUCAAUGUGUCGGAGGGCUAACAUGCAUGCCGGACACCUCAAGCACCUCCGUGUACGCUGCACAGAUGGAGCAGAGUUCUACUCUCGGUCCUCUACGAAGGUUAGAGGGCAAAUGGGACACAGAUUCAUGUUCGUUGAUGGAGACAAAGCCUUGUCUGGGUCGUACAGAUUCACUUGGAUGUCAUCACGGCUUGACAAAAACCUUGUCACUGUGAUUACAGGCCAGGCAGUGGAAGCCUUUGAUAGACUCUAUCGCAUCCUCUACUCGACCUCCAGCUUCGUCAACCUCCAGCAGGUUGCUACAGAACCUGAACCUGAACCUGAACCCAUCCCACAGCCGGUCGCAGCGCCCCUUCCUUCUGCUGCUCUUGCCAGGAAACUGCACAACCCAAAAUAUGCCCUUGUUAACCUCGGCAACCCUGCUCGCAACAACAGCCCCCAAGAAGCCCCAAAAACAGAAAACUCCAAGGGCCCAGAGGAAAUAAACCAGAAGGGACGGAGGAAGUCGAUUAAAGAAGCUCCUCCUCUCCACCCUGGACUUGCCAAUCUGGAGAAAGUAUGCAUGAUGGCAUACCUGCCAACCUGGCCAGAUCCUGAUCCCCCCAAAGACGUAAUUGGGUACAUUAACAUUCGGGAUUCCAGAAAACCAACUCAGGUCCAUCUCCAGAGAUCUGAAAUGUUUGAAACCAGCCAAGCGAUUAGGUUCAGUAGUCCAUUCAGCGUGCCAAAAGAAAAGCUUCCAGAGGUUGCCACGCUCCGACAGCUUCCUGGUAAACCUGAGGAGAUGAAUAAACUCCAACCAGCACAAGAUAUAACAAAAGCUAAGGAGUCGCAGGUGGACAGAGCUUCAGUCAAUGCAGGGCCUGUUGAAGCCAAAAGUAAAGCAGAGACAGCUAAGCAGAACUCACCUGCAUCUGGACCAAAGUGUGAAUCUAACAAAGACAAAACAAACAAUUUUAACAUUGAGAAGAAACUUGGAACAAACACAUCCAAUAACCAAAAAGUAGUACAAAACACUGAACCUCAACGUAAUGCACACACACCUCUCCAAUCAAGUGCUGAAAUAUCCAGUUUUAUCCCUGGGAGGCCCACAAACACCACUACAACUGUUGUCAACAAAAGUACUGAACCUGACUCCCUCCCUGGAUCCAUCACUAAAACAGAAACACAGAGUUCACAGGUGACCAGCACACAAACCUUACACACAGGCUCAAACAAAGAACAACAUACACAAAAACAGAAUGCACAGCCACAUUCAGCGUCACACACACAGGCUGUUCACAUACAGUCACAAAACUCCUCUGCAAUACCUCCUAACAACCGGACUGCCACUGCCAACAGACACGUUAUCUCGUCUUCUGUCUCAACCCUUUCUGAAAGUAGUGACCAUACCUCUUCUUCUGUUCCUCCUCUCACCUCUUCUUCUGCAACUCCUACUCUGCCCAUCCUUUCUUCCUCAGAAGCCUCACCCUUGACCCCAACCUCAGCUCCUCCCAUCCCUAAACCUCGGACUAUCCAGCUGCUCAUAAAAGAUGGCGUCACCAGUGAUGGCAAGAAGCUGCUUGAUGGCAGCAUUGCAAAGAAGCCCGAGUCCAGCACAGGGUCGCUAGUGGUCCAAAAUGAGUCUGCUAUAGGAACUGAGUUGGAAACUACUCUAGAGAAACAACCGGAGAUUGUCCCAGAUUUACAGAAUAUGGGAAGCAUUACAGGAACACAAAGAGAUGCAGAGAGCGCAGUCAAAAUUAAAGACGAUCCUCAGCAAAAAGAGGGCGGGACUUCCAGAAAGAAUGAGAAAUCAGACGCAGGAACCACCCUGGUGCUUAAGCCAGAGAAUUUAACUACCGAGGAAACAAAGGUUGAAAUUGUGAAUGCUCAAGAAAUAGUUCCAAACUUGCCUGAACUCAAAAGUUUGACAACAGUAGAUGGCAAAUUAACCCGGCAAAUAGACAAAGAAGUUGUAGAGACCAAAGCUUUAGAGAAAGCAGCAACCUGCCCUGAGUUAGCUGAAGCCCCAAAUAAAAAUGGUGAAAAUGUAACAGAUUGCAAAACAAAUAGUGAAAAAGCACCUGAACUUCAGAAAAUAUCGGAGAGUGAGUCGGCGCCGCAGGAUACAGGUGUACUUGAAACUGUAGACUCAACAAACACAACACAUAACACACAUAGCACCUCUCAAGGAGAAACUCCUAAAACACUUAAAGGCAAACACACGCCCUUACAGCUGCCCGACACACACACGCCAGACCUGCGCUCACUGACACCUGAUGGGGAUUACGAUGGCUCAAAGCUCUUGCACGCACUCCAACUCCAGACGGAAUUCAUUCGCGCACACCCACCCCGGACUCGCGUUCGAACACACCAGACUUCCGAACGCCUACCCCAGAAGUUAGCGACGGUUAUGUUUCUGCGAUAGACUCCAAUGUCUCCACCACCUCAGAGGAUUACUAUGACUGUGUUGGCUUUCCUUGUCUACUCGAGCCGGAUUUUGACCAAGCAGCAAAUCCCAACCACAGUAUGGCUGAGGAUCAUGCUAGCUCCGCACACACACAUUCUCCCAAUGCGACAAACAGUAACAGAAAACAUAAAACCAAAAGUAGUGAAACAAAGAGUUUAUCCAGGACUGCUAAAGUCUCUUCUCCUUCUUCUUCUUCUUCUUCUUCUUCACUUGAGAAGGCAGUGAAAAAGGAGGGGGAAGAAAGUAAAGACGUUGAAAAGAAGAGAGGGGCGGAGGGAACAGAGGGAGACUCUCCUGGGAGAGAGAGGACAGGCAGCAAGGUGAAAGAGUCAAAAGGGACAGUAGAGAAAAACAAGGAGGCCCCAAGCCAAGCUCCUAAGAAACAGAAGGUGUUAAACCAAUCAGCAGUAGAGAGGCCGGUCGAUGGAGGAGGGACUCCAGGAACCAAUGAUGGAGUGGAGCCAAAGCGAUUGUCCACAGGUGACUCUACACCAAAGACAGUUUGCACUGAGAGAGAGGCACCAGACAAAGAGAAGAAGCCAUUAGGACCCAGCGUUGUGGCGAGGAGAGAAAAGCCCCAGACCACCAAAGAGACUGAGGGCAAGAAGUAUUCUGUUCAGCCUACACCGGUGGCAUGAAGGCUUGUGAAUACAUCUUCCAAAUCUCCAGAGGAACAGCAGCCAGACAACGGAGCUUCCUCCCCUUCCCGAACAACCAGAUCCCCUCAACCCCUCUCGGGCCAGUAUCUGGGGCCUCAUCCUUUGGGAAGCUCUCUGCAGAACAAGGCAGAAAGCAUGUUGCAGCAUGGUAGUUUUCAAGUCUUGGAUAACUCUCCUAAUAAGUCACCGACGAGACCUGCUGCUGCUGCUGAGCAAAGGCACACCGAAGUCUCCCGCAGCCAGCAGAGCCUACUUUCUCCACAGCCUUUGGCAGACGGGCAGAAACCUCAGUCGUCUCUUCUGCGCACACACUCAAACUCAAACUCACAGCCGCAGCUCAGUCCUCCUUCCCAGAACCAGGCACUUUCAGCAAACCACAAGGUGGAUGGACGGGGUCCAUUUAGCUUGACUUUCAGCAAGCUGUACAGCCUCAAGGAUCUUAAGGACACGAUGAGCAAUCUGCCAAUACAGAGCAAGAGCAGCACUCCAAUACAGGGACACAAGAGCACAAGCUAGUUUGAUUGCAUCAGUCCAUCUCGGCAUCAAUUUUUCAUGUCAUUGCAAUACAUUAAGCUAAGGAAAUGGGGAAUUGAGCAUAAAAUUGCUGUUAAAAUUAUAUAAUCCUCAGUAUCCAGGAAAUGAACUGUAAAAAAAUGCUCUUUAAAUAUCUUCUCUUCUGCUCACACAGCAGACUUUUCACCUUAGGGUUACCUCUUGCAGAGGUUUUAGUAAAGCUUAAUCUAGCCUCCUCUCUUGUCUGUCUCAUUAGUUUACCUUUAAGAUUUUUUUUUUUCAGAUGAGAGAUGGGGCCUUUGUCCAUUAACAGUGUUUUUGUGUGCGCGCAUGAUGUGUGUGUGUUGGCAGCAUCCACAACCUUUAUUUCUGCGUGCUUUUCACCGGCGCUUUCUGUCGCUAGGUUACUGGAGUUGACUCACUGCACUCCAGCUUCCCUCAGUAGUGACCCUAAGGUUUGUUUUACAUUGCUCUGGAUGCUAAAUAUUUGUUCUUAUUUAAGUGGCAUUGACUAGUGUUCCAAGUUUAACUAUUUUCAACUGAGAGCAAAAAGGGUGUUUUUGUGGAUAGGACACUGAGCGCUGAAAACACUGAACUGCAUCCGCUUUGUUUAGAAAAUGGGCUGAGCCAAUGCAAAAAAAAAUGGAAUUGGUUGAUGUUAUUCAUAUUACUGCUUUAGAAAUUUGUGCUUUUUUUUAAUUAAGAUUUACUUUUGGGCUUUUUAUGCCUUUAUUUUAGAGAUUGGACUGGGAUAGAAACUGAGGCUGGCCACUUUCAAGGAUUUAAACCUCUAUACAUGGGACAUGCGCACUAACCACUAGGCUACCGGCCCACCAGAUUCUUCAAUUUUUUUAUAAUGUAACUGCCUUCAGGAGGUUAUGACCUCUGGUGCUAAUGUCCUAGACAUUUGGAUUUGAUCCAAAGCUGCCUCUAAUGGAGAAUUAAAGGGUUAUACUCUGGUAUUUCGUCUUUUUCAACCUUGCCCUAAUGUAUUCUAUACCAUACAUCACAUUCUCAUACCUAAACCACAGAAAAGCUGGAUCAUCAAUGAUUCCCAAAACAAUACACAGUAUAUGGCACAUGUUGUAAAAACAGUUUUCAGUCUAAAUAAGUCUUAAGCAACAAUAAGUAGGUAUUUGGUUUUUGUGCGCUUUGGCGCCCACUGAAGGUAUCUGAGUGCAACUGCACUGUUGUAAGACACGGUGCUGUUACGCCUACCGCAACGAGCGUUUGUUUACAAGCAGAUGGUGCGAUGCCGGCAAAGACAUUGUGUGAAGCCAAACGAUGUCGACUGACAAGGUACUGUAAUAUUACUGGAUUUUGCGCUAAGUGACUGUGCUAACGUCUUCAGCCUGUUGUUUGCUUGGGUUCGACGACUUUCUGCACCUGGUAAAGCUGCUAAACAUGAGACCAUGAUGUCACAGAUAACAAUACCGCCUAACAUUACAUUGCACUCUGUUAUGAAUAAUAUCUACGGGGAUGUACACUCUGCCUUCUGCUUGGUCACUCUCUAAAUUAUCUUCUUCCGUCACCGUCUACUCUUAGCCUCAGCCAUCGUAUCAAACAGCACAGAGGCGGGCUAAUGGCUUCUUUUUAGCUGCAGGCGUGUGUGUGAACUACAUGACCUCAGCCCCCUGCCACAGUUACUACUGUAAACAAGUGAUCUGGCUGCGUGGCAGACAUGGGUGGGACGCCAUGUUUCCUUGUGAAAUUUGGGAUGCUAUUAAAUCGACGUUUGAAAAACAGAAUUUCAAGGUGGAAAAGUUUAAGUUCUUGGUUCAGUUAAGGAACAAAUUCUUUGGGAAAGAUUUAUGUUGUUUUUUACUUAUGUAAGGUUUGUAAAUUCUGUGAUCUCUGUACAAAAUGUAAAAAAUGAAUACAAUUAAAAGUAACUCAACAAUAAGGUUUGGUUAAUUUGCAGAUGGGAAACUGGUUAUCUUGGUGAAAUGGUUUGAAUGUUUGAAAAUAUGUAACAUUUAGCAAAGUAUUAACGUUACAAAUGUGAUGUAACCAAAGUUACAUCAUAAUAGUUUUCAUAAUGCAACACAGACUUUUACUCUUGUCUUUGUAAAUGACUUUUGAUUGUGAUUUUUUUGAGUUGCCAUCUUUCUAUUGUUUCUCCCGAUGGAAAUCCAGUGUUGCUGCUUGUUGGCUUUCAUUGGCCUGAACUAAAUCCAAGGCACGUAUAUUCUGGAUCAAGUUAAAAGAAAAGCCGUUUUUUUCUAGCUCAACAGUGUUAAACUUGUCUAACAUGUCCAAGGGUUGGUGUCAUGUGCUGUGGGCAUUAAAAGAGUAUUUAGCAUGUUUGAUGGCAGUUUUAGAGUCUGUGAACAUUGAAAUGUACACAAGCUGCAUUAACAGUGAUACUGUAUGUGUCUCCUCCAGAUUGGUGUUACAGAUAUUUACUGUCCUCUACGUUAACUUUACAUUCUGUGAGCACAAAAGAAUAUAAAAGCUGUUGAUGCAGCCUUUUAUCUUGUGGGUUUAUUUUACGUCCCCCAACCUCGUCGUACUGUAUCCUUCUAUUAUGUGUUUUACAUUUAAAACAGUCCGUUUAUUGAUUUAUCGUUUGUUUACCCCAAAUCCCAUUUACAUUCAAAAUGCCUUUUUGUCUGGAAGACAAAGUCAGAGCCACUGUGCUUACACAAAACACGAGUUAACUGUGAAGAUGAGCUCAAUAAACACCGAGCACGACAGACUUAUUAUUCUGAAGACAAAAACACACGCCCUGCAGUUUAUAUCAACAGUAUACAAGAUGGUGCACUUGAGCUAUUCUGAAAGAAGAGGAAUGCGUUAAGAGCAAUUAUAGGGACAAAUAAUCUAAUCUAAAAAAAAACAGCAAUCUUUAAUCUGGAAAUUAUAGGAGACUGGAAUGUGUGCACUUGCUUUAUUUCUAAACCCGCUUCAUGUCCCUGCAGUGAAUCCUACACAGCUGUUUGGCUCUGUAAAUGCUCAUAUUCACUUUGUUUGGAUGAGAUUCCAAAUCUCUGCCUAAGAGGUAUUAAAAUAAAAAGGCAAACUGGGAUUGACUUGAUUUUUUCCCCCUUAUAAAAUAUAGAUUAUGAAUCUUGGAUGGCUGCUCCUACGAGCUGUGAAAGGCUGGCCUGCCUGCUGACUGAGAUAGUCAAAGUUGACAUCUACAGAGCAGUUGGAGCAAAGACGUGUUAAACAUGAUUUUUCUCAGCUCAUGUCUUGCAGCUUCAGGUCUAUCAAAGUGGUAACAGAGAGAAACAGGGUCCGAGGUAACUCUAUACUCCCACAAUGCCUCAGAGGGUUUGGAAGCUUGAGUCGUAUUUCAUAGCACGUUGCAGUUCUGCAAAUAUCAGCUGUAAUCCAUAUCAGGCGCUUAUGAGUUGUGAACAAAUGUCCAAUUGUAAAUAUUACAUCCCUGAUGAUCCCAGGAGACGUUUGUUUAUUGAAAAGUAUCUAAUAUUCAGACAUUGAGCACAAAAUUACCCCUGAAAUAGACGAGUAUGUAUGAGUUUCUGGACAAUCUCCUGCAGUUGAUUUUCAUAAUUGUCCGACGUUCACUUGCUUUUUCCACAGAACAAUGACAACAGGGUCCCUAGCUUCAAGUGUGUCUGCUAUGCUAGGAUAAGCUAACUUCAUAUUUUUGGUACAAACAUAAGAGGGGUAUAAGUCUUGUCACCUAGUUCUUAGCAAGAAUAAGUGAAUAAGUGUGUUUCCAAAAAAUGUCUAUUUCUGUUCAUUUUCAGAAAUAAAAUAUGUCUGACAA